UGUCUUUCGUGUAAUAGAACCCCUGAAUUUGCAAAAGGGAAAGAAAAUGUCAGAUUUUCCCGAUUUUCAUUUAGUUUUGCGCCCCGUGUAUGGUUGUUUGCGCAAGUAAUUUCAUAAUGUCAUCAGACUGAGGUAAACAAAAAUAUCGGAUUCCAGCGUCGGACAAGGAUUAAAUAAUUAUUCUAAUGACGUUUAUUUAACAGAGAUAAAGAAAAAUGGAGACAUCCUUAUACUGGUGUAUGUUCCAGAGUAUCAUAAAGUGGUGCAAGCUCCUGUUUUACUCACAGAUCCAGGUACUGUUUCGCAG